GAUGAACGCUGGCGGCGUGCCUAAUACAUGCAAGUCGAGCGAACGGACGAGAAGCUUGCUUCUCUGAUGUUAGCGGCGGACGGGUGAGUAACACGUGGAUAACCUACCUAUAAGACUGGGAUAACUUCGGGAAACCGGAGCUAAUACCGGAUAAUAUUUUGAACCGCAUGGUUCAAAAGUGAAAGACGGUUUUGCUGUCACUUAUAGAUAGAUCCGCGCUGCAUUAGCUAGUUGGUAAGGUAACGGCUUACCAAGGCAACGAUGCAUAGCCGACCUGAGAGGGUGAUCGGCCACACUGGAACUGAGACACGGUCCAGGCUCCUACGGGAGGCAGCGGUAGGGAAGCUUCCGCAAUGGGCGAAAGCCUGACGGAGCAACGCCGCGUGAGUGAUGAAGGUCUUCGGAUCGUAAAACUCUGUUAGUAGGGAAGAACAUAUGUGUAAGUAACUGUGCACAUCUUGACGGUACCUAAUCAGAAAGCCACGGCUAACUACGUG
rnacentral:rRNA from 1 species